rnacentral:rRNA from 1 species
UACGUAGGGUGCGAGCGUUGUCCGGAAUUAUUGGGCGUAAAGGGCUCGUAGGCGGUCUGUUGCGUCGGGAGUGAAAACUCAGGGCUUAACCCUGAGCCUGCUUCCGAUACGGGCAGACUAGAGGUAUGCAGGGGAGAACGGAAUUCCUGGUGUAGCGGUGAAAUGCGCAGAUAUCUGGAGGAACACCGGUGGCGAAGGCGGCGAUCUGGCCCAACACUGACACUGAGACCCGAAAGCAUGGGGAUCAAACAGG